rnacentral:rRNA from 1 species
AACGAACGCUGGCGGCAUGCCUAACACAUGCAAGUCGAACGAAGGCUUCGGCCUUAGUGGCGCACGGGUGCGUAACGCGUGGGAAUCUGCCCCUAGGUACGGAAUAACAGCGAGAAAUUGCUGCUAAUACCGUAUGAUGACGAAAGUCCAAAGAUUUAUCGCCUAGGGAUGAGCCCGCGUAGGAUUAGCUUGUUGGUGAGGUAAAAGCUCACCAAGGCGACGAUCCUUAGCUGGUCUGAGAGGAUGAUCAGCCACACUGGGACUGAGACACGGCCCAGACUCCUACGGGAGGCAGCAGUGGGGAAUAUUGGACAAUGGGCGAAAGCCUGAUCCAGCAAUGCCGCGUGAGUGAUGAAGGCCCUAGGGUUGUAAAGCUCUUUCACCGGUGAAGAUAAUGACGGUAACCGGAGAAGAAGCCCCGGCUAACUUCGUGCCAGCAGCCGCCGUAA